CCCUCGAAGGCUGCCAGCAACCGUCGCACUAACCUCCACCACCGUCCGGCGCCAGCGCUCUCUACCACGGAACGGAAGUGACGUCUGUCCCUCCCUGGCCAGGCCCCGCCCGCUCCGUGAGGCAGUCAAAUUUGCCCAGAUGGAGAUCGGAGGACCAGAAAAAAGGUCAUGCCCAGGAAAACCCAGAACCCCAAUGCACAAGAACCAAAACUAAACAUGCAGAGAGAAAGCAGGCUGCUCUUGAAGGCAGCGUGGCACAACUCACCCCGCCUGAGUCUAGGCUGGCUCUUCGCAGACUGACAGCUGAGGACACAUCCUAUGCUUCCCUCAGAGUCCCCUAGCCUGCAAGCUGGAACAGGAAACCCCUUGGAAUUUAAAGUGACAGCUUGUAAUUUUAACAGUUUUCAAUACACCACAGGUGAGAGCCUAAAAGAACCUGAAAAAUGAUGUCAUAGGAGGUACCAUAGAAGAAUAAAUAAAGGCAUACAUACCCCAGGAAGCACAUGGAGGGCAGAGGUUUCAGCUGGCUUUCACACCACCUCCCACUGCGCCAGCUAGGCUUUCGACUGCUGUGAAACUGAAUGUUGGACUCCACCUGCUCGCAGCAGUGGAACCCAAAAACACGAAUCUGGCCUGGUCCCUACAAUGGGAAGAGGGACGUGUGGAACAUUUGACUUCUACUCGGAAUCACGUCAAGACAACCAAAGGGAGAGCACACAGUGCCAUGUGCGCCCUGGACAGAAUGCCAGGUUGUCAGCAGUGUUCAGUCCAGCACCUCUGCUGCUACUGCAUGUGCCCAGAGAGCAGUAGGGCUAGAACGGUGAGGAAUGGAAGGUUAGUCGCAAGUGGGUGGUUUUUAAGAGGACAACCAGCCUCUGGAAUGGUAUAGCUCCUAACUGGACGUUUACUAGCUGCUUGGUGUGACACAGAUAGUUAGAGCCAUGCUUUGAGCCUGCACUUCAGGAGAAAGGGAUCAGAUUCCCAAUGAUCAGAACUGCCAGCGUUCUCACAGGCUUGAGUCUAGAUAGGAAGAGAGGAAGGAAAGCACUUGCUGAACUCAAACAGUCUGGCAUGCACUUCCAGCGUGCAAAACGAGAGAUGAUGCAGUUGUUCUGCGAUAGGAAAUGAAGUCGUCUUACUGCAUUCAAGUUUCUGUGCACAAAUGUACGUAGGGGAAAUAAGCAAGGAGAGCCACAAGUGAUACUAAAUGAGAGAUUCUGAAUCUCAUGCUUGUUUGGUUCUCAUAAUUGGAGCAUUCAAAUGGAUGGCUGCAGUCUCCCGGGUACGGGAGAAUAGGAAUGGAAGAAGGGGGUGGGGUGGCACCAUAUCCGAAACAUUGCCUGCAGCAGUGAGAGUCGCUUUGUGGGAGAAGAGAGGAGGGAAAGGACACAAGACCUGAAAAGCAACAGAGGAAGUACAGUGAAUAUCUGUUAUAGUACCCCAAGAGCAGGGCUGAAAAUCCCUGGGGUAAUUGAGAACCACAAGGGUGGUAUAACUCCAGAGGACUUCUAGUUCUGCAUAGCUGUGCUUGAGACCCAGUGCAGAAAACAUGCAUCAUCCCAUGGGCCCGUGAGCUCCAGUGGGCAUAAGGUUGGUGAGCUGGAGGGGCCAGCGAGAGGAGAAGUCAUUGUGGAUCCCAGAUCUCCUGAGAAGCAUAGGAGAAGCCGGGCUUUCUGAGCACCGCGGACCCGGUGUUUGGCUUCUGGCAGAGGAGGCUAGAUCAGGAUCCUACAGUGACCCACUGGCUCAACCUCCCAGUCAACAGUUUUGACCAGUUCAUGGCAGCAAACAAAGGAGUCCUAGAACAGCAGGUCUGGCUCCCACAGAGCAGGACUUGCGGUAGCAUCAUGCAGUCAGCUGUGCUGUGAAUUAAAAAGCAGCUGGCACAUAAAACUUUGUUUCCCCAGUUUAGCAUUUACUCUGCCUAUUUUGGCUAGUGUCCACUGGGCCAGCUCAUGGAGACAAGCCGCCUGGAAAGAGCUGGAAGAGCACAUCCACAAGCAGCAUUUGCAGUCUAAAGUUGCUAUUUUUAAUACACCAACAAUCCCCGCUUCCCUUUGCUGUGGUUCAUGUGGGCGCCUGGCGGUGUUGCUCAGAGGGGAGCUCCAAAGGGGCCAGAGGCUGUGUAUCUCACCGAGUGGGAGGAGCAGU